rnacentral:snoRNA from 20 species
CACUCCUGUUUCUGCCCCAAAUUCUUUUACACAGCCAUAGAAUUAUGGGUUCUACUUAUGGAGAAGAAAAAGCCAUUCAACGAACUUCGGACACUUUUGAUACAACCGUCCGUUGUUUUUUGGGUGGAUCGGGUGGUUAGGCUUUGUAUCCUUGCGUGACUGACUCGGAACGUUCCGGGAAAGUCUGAUCGGUCUCCACUAUAUUU